rnacentral:rRNA from 1 species
UACGGAGGGUGCAAGCGUUAUCCGGAUUUAUUGGGUUUAAAGGGUGCGCAGGCGGAUUAUUAAGUCAGUGGUGAAAGCCCUCGGCUCAACCGAGGAACUGCCAUUGAUACUGAUAAUCUUGAGUAUAGUUGUAGUAGGCGGAAUAGGUCAUGUAGCGGUGAAAUGCUUAGAUAUGACCUAGAACACCGAUUGCGAAGGCAGCCAACUAAACCGUUAUUGACGCUGAGGGACGAAAGCGUGGGGAGCGAACAGG